UUGGAGUCUCUUAGUUAUGUGCUUAUGUAUUUUUUGAGGGGAAGGUUGGAUACUUAUGUGAUAUGCUGAAAUCCAUUUUCCUUUGUUUCAUUGCUCUGUUUCACCAUAUUAUUUACUUAUUUUCUUUACUAGUCUUCCUUGGCAGGGAUUAAAAGCAGGUACAAAAAAACAGAAAUACGACAAGAACAGUGAAAAGAAGAUGCUUACUCCCAUAAAGCAACCAAGUGGGAAACUGGUUCUAAAUCCUGGGCCAUCUGCAGAGAGAAUAGAGAGACCUUCAGAGCAACAUCAUGAGGAGGUUUGCCUUGGAAACCUGAGGAGAUUUCAAUUUAGAGAGCUUCAGAUGGCAACAAACAACUUCAGCAGCAAGUACUUGGUUGGAUGAUAAAUUGAAG